GCAACAAAAUUGCUGCAACUUGCAGCAAAAUCUGAUUUCUACGCAUGUUAAUUUAAUUGAAAAUGUUUAUACAUACAUUACAAAUCACGAGGCAACAUGCAUGUGUCGCAUUUCUACUUAACAUGCGUUGAAAUCAGAUUUUGUUGCAAGUUGCAGCAAUUUUGUUG
rnacentral:miRNA from 1 species